CGGCCGCGUCGACAUCCUGGCUCAGAUUGAACGCUGGCGGCAUGCCUUACACAUGCAAGUCGAACGGUAACAGGUCUUUGGAUGCUGACGAGUGGCGAACGGGUGAGUAAUACAUCGGAACGUGCCCGAGAGUGGGGGAUAACGGAGCGAAAGCUUUGCUAAUACCGCAUACGAUCUACGGAUGAAAGCAGGGGACCGCAAGGCCUUGCGCUCAUGGAGCGGCCGAUGGCAGAUUAGG
rnacentral:rRNA from 1 species